UACGUAGGGGGCGAGCGUUGUCCGGAUUCAUUGGGCGUAAAGAGCUCGUAGGCGGUUCAGCAAGUCGGGUGUGAAACCUCCAGGCUCAACCUGGAGACGCCACCCGAUACUGCUGUGACUUGAGUCCGGUAGGGGACCACGGAAUACCUGGUGUAGCGGUGAAAUGCGCAGAUAUCAGGAGGAACACCGAUGGCGAAGGCAGGUCUCUGGGCAUUAACUGACGCUGAGGAGCGAAAGCAUGGGGAGCGAACAGG
rnacentral:rRNA from 1 species